GCACGAGAAAGGGCUUCGGCCCCGGUAAAGUGGCGCACGGGUGCGUAACNNGUAGGCAAUCUUCCCUUAGGCGGGGGAUAACGUUUCGAAAGAGACGCUAAUACCGCAUGAGACCACGGACGCUUCGGCGACUGCGGUCAAAGCUGGCCUCUUCAUGAAAGCCAGCACCUAAGGACGAGCCUGCGGCCCAUCAUGCUAGUUGGUAGGGUAAUGGCCUACCAAGGCGAAGACGGGUAGCUGGUCUGAGAGGAUGAUCAGCCACACUGGCACUGAAACACGGGCCAGACUCCUACGGGAGGCAGCAGUGGGGAAUAUUGGACAAUGGGCGCAAGCCUGAUCCAGCGACGCCGCGUGAGUGAUGAAGGCCUUCGGGUUGUAAAGCUCUGUUGAGGGAGAAGAAAACAGUUGGCGCAAAUAGCUCCAGCUCUUGACGGUAUCCCUUUAGAAAGCACCGGCUAACUCUGUGCCAGCAGCCGCG
rnacentral:rRNA from 1 species